AUGCUGGCCGACCCCCGCAGACCUCGCGGUGAGCGACGCCAACCCUGCCUCCCUCUCCCAGGAGCGGACCAUGAAGAGUCUGGGGGCAGAAGGGAGGGGAGACGAGGAGGGAACGGCCGGGGGCUGCAGGGCACGCUGGGGUCGGCACCGACCGCUGGAGGGAGGCGAGUGGCUGCUUCUGGGGGGACAACAAGCGGCCGUGGAAAGCGGUGCCCGAGGCGGCGGGGGUUCGGUGGGUCGCACUCACCGACGACGCGCAGCACGUUCCGGGAGCGCCAGGUGCGCGGGACAGAGCGCCGGCCCAGCUGCGGAGCCCGCCCCGCCCCGCCCCGAGGACGCGUGCGCGCAGGCCCCGCCCCUCGCCCGGCCCCGCCCCUCGCUCCCCCUCCUCUGUGGUUCCUGCCGAGCCGGCUGCGGCGGCGAGAACCGGAGACCCCGAGCUGCGGCGUCAGUCUGGCCUCCACUCUGCCUUCAGGGGUGCUUCAUAUAGUUCUUCCUGGCACCUCCCGGGAUGUGACUCUGGGCCCCGUGGCCAUCAGGUCCCUCCUGGUCUCCUUCUACACCUUCCAUGACCCCCCCUGUGCUGUGCUGCUGGCCUUCCUGUGGGGCUGCAUGCAGUUGGCCAUGGGCUCCUGGGCUUGGGGUUCCUGCUGAAACCCUGCCCCACCAUCUCCAGCCCCGUCAGUCAUUAAAGGUCUCACCUCUGCUGCUACCGUCACCAUCGGCCUUGGGCAGAUCAAGCUAUCAAGGUUAUGCAGUUUUUCUUAAAAGAGAUCAUUCUACUAGGAAUCUGACUUCAGACAUCCUCUUGUCCUGGAGUCAAGAGAACGAAUCAAGGAAGGAAAAGGGGCUGAAAGAGAACGAGAAGAGGAAAUGUGAGUGUGGCGAGCGGAAGAAGAAGAGCCAACGGCAGAUAAGCGCACUUCAAGGGAACCAGAAACCCCGAGGAGAGCGCUGGUGUGGCCGCUGGCGCACGCGGCCGUGCAGGGACAGAGAUGAUGGUUAA
rnacentral:lncRNA from 1 species